GGGUGCGAUCAUACCGGCACUAAUGCACCGGAUCCCAUCAGAACUCCGCAGUUAAGCGUGCUUGGGCGAGAGUAUUACUAGGAUGGGUGACCUCCUGGGAAGUCCUCGUGUUGCACCC
rnacentral:rRNA from 1 species